rnacentral:rRNA from 1 species
GAUGAACGCUGGCGGCGUGCCUAAUACAUGCAAGUCGAGCGAACGGACGAGAAGCUUGCUUCUCUGAUGUUAGCGGCGGACGGGUGAGUAACACGUGGAUAACCUACCUAUAAGACUGGGAUAACUUCGGGAAACCGGAGCUAAUACCGGAUAAUAUUUUGAACCGCAUGGUUCAAAAGUGAAAGACGGUCUUGCUGUCACUUAUAGAUGGAUCCGCGCUUCAUUAGCUAGUUGGUAAGGUAACGGCUUACCAAGGCAACGAUGCAUAGCCGACCUGAGAGGGUGAUCGGCCACACUGGAACUGAGACACGGUCCAGACUCCUACGGGAGGCAGCAGUAGGGAAUCUUCCGCAAUGGGCGAAAGACUGACGGAGCAACGCCGCGUGAGUGAUGAAGGUCUUCGGAUCGUAAAACUCUGUUAUUAGGGAAGAACAUAUGUGUAAGUAACUGUGCACAUCUUGACGGUACCUAAUCAGAAAGCCACGGCUAACUACGUG